UUUCCGUAGGUGAACCUGCGGAAGGAUCAUUAAUGAGUUGUCAUGGGGUUCGAUGCUGGCAGCCAAUUUUUGGAUGCAUGUGCUUGCCCUAACAAUCAUCUUCCAACACCUGUGCACAUUUUUGAGGGAGUCUUGAGUUGGUUGCCGCUCUUGGGUGAUUUUCUCACAUUCCCUUAAAUCAUUAUACGCUAUUAACAAUGUUGAACGUGCUCUGUGCCGCAAGGCUAUUAAUAUAAUACAACUUUUAACAACGGAUCUCUUGGCUCUC
rnacentral:misc_RNA from 1 species